GAUGAACGCUGGCGGCGUGCCUAACACAUGCAAGUCGAACGGACAUUUUUUGGAAAGUUCUUCGGAACUGGAAUCUAAAUGUUAGUGGCGGACGGGUGAGUAACGCGUGAGCAAUCUGCCUUUCAGAGGGGGAUAACAGCCGGAAACGGCUGCUAAUACCGCAUAAUGCAUUGGAUUCGCAUGUUUCUGAUGCCAAAGAUUUUAUCGCUGAAAGAUGAGCUCGCGUCUGAUUAGCUAGUUGGUAAGGUAACGGCUUACCAAGGCGACGAUCAGUAGCCGACCUGAGAGGGUGACCGGCCACAUUGGGACUGAGACACGGCCCAA
rnacentral:rRNA from 1 species